rnacentral:rRNA from 1 species
UACGUAGGGUGCGAGCGUUGUCCGGAAUUAUUGGGCGUAAAGGGCUCGUAGGCGGUUUGUCGCGUCGGGAGUGAAAACCCAGGGCUUAACCCUGGGCUGGCUUCCGAUACGGGCAGACUAGAGGUAUGCAGGGGAGAACGGAAUUCCUGGUGUAGCGGUGAAAUGCGCAGAUAUCAGGAGGAACACCGGUGGCGAAGGCGGUCUCUGGGCCGAUUACUGACGCUGAGGAGCGAAAG